AUUGAACGCUGGCGGCAUGCUUUACACAUGCAAGUCGAACGGCAGCGCGGGCUUCGGCCUGGCGGCGAGUGGCGAACGGGUGAGUAAUACAUCGGAACGUGCCCAGUAGUGGGGGAUAGCUCGGCGAAAGCCGGAUUAAUACCGCAUACGACCUGAGGGUGAAAGCGGGGGAGCUUCGGACCUCGCGCUAUUGGAGCGGCCGAUGGCAGAUUAGCGAGUUGGUGGGGUAAAGGCCUACCAAGGCGACGAUCUGUAGCUGGUCUGAGAGGACGACCAGCCACACUGGGACUGAGACACGGCCCAGACUCCUACGGGAGGCAGCAGUGGGGAAUUUUGGACAAUGGGCGAAAGCCUGAUCCAGCAAUGCCGCGUGUGUGAUGAAGGCCUUCGGGUUGUAAAGCACUUUUGGCGGGGACGAAAAGGAUUGUGCCAAUACCACGGUUCGAUGACGGUACCCACAGAAUAAGCACCGGCUAACUACGUG
rnacentral:rRNA from 1 species